rnacentral:rRNA from 1 species
CAGUAGCCACGGUAAUACGAAGGGGGCUAGCGUUGUUCAGAUUUACUGGGCGUAAAGCGCACGUAGGCGGACUUUUAAGUCAGGGGUGAAAUCCCGGGGCUCAACCCAGGAACUGCCUUUGAUACUGGAAGUCUUGAGUAUGGUAGAGGUGAGUGGAAUUCCGAGUGUAGAGGUGAAAUUCGUAGAUAUUCGGAGGAACACCAGUGGCGAAGGCGGCUCACUGGACCAUUACUGACGCUGAGGUGCGAAAGCGUGGGGAGCAAACAGGAUUAGAUACCCCAGUAGUCCCUGUCUCUUAUAU